UUGCUUUAGGGAUGAACGAGUCCCUCACAGUGAUUGUCGUCCAUCUGCUUCACUUUGUCAGCAAGUCGUGUUCUUCAGUCAUCUGCUGAUCAUUUUAGGAUGGAAAAUCU